rnacentral:rRNA from 1 species
CAGCCGCCGCGGUAAUACGAAGGGGGCUAGCGUUGUUCGGAUUUACUGGGCGUAAAGGGCGCGUAGGCGGGCGAAUAAGUCAGGGGUGAAAUCCCAAGGCUCAACCUUGGAACUGCCUUUGAUACUGUUUGUCUUGAGUUCGAGAGAGGUAAGUGGAACUGCGAGUGUAGAGGUGAAAUUCGUAGAUGUUCGGAAGAACACCAGUGGCGAAGGCGACUCGCUGGACAAGUAUUGACGCUGAGGUGCGAAAGCGUGGGGAGCAAACAGGAUUAGAUACCCGCGUAGUCCCUGUCUCUUAUAC